CAUCUUUGUCUAAGCUGUGUGCUCAUCUGUUCCAAGGCAUCAUGCCACAGAUUAAUGCACUGCUUCGGUUUAAAACACAGACUUUUAAUUUUGAAAGGGAAUAGAAGUAUUCACGACUUCCCCAUCUACAGAACUUCUUGAAUCUUCCAGCUUUGGGCAGAAUCUUAGGUGGAAGCUGAAAACUCAGCAACUUCAGGGAAAAACUGCGAAUCUUCAAGCUGUCAAGUUCAACAGAACGGACCUGAAGCCCCAUUUCUACGCUUCCAAAUAUGAGUGAAACAGGAGGAGAACUGAUCUUUUUUUCCUCAAAAGCCAGAUCUGACUAUCUGUUGCUCAAGUUGGCCUGGAGUGCCCCUGCCUUCUGAGCACUGGUUUCCAGGUGUGCUCACUACAUGUGACUAGGAGGACCAAGAGAAACAGAAACAUGAGAUGAAGACAUGCUCAGCUUCAGUGUGGACAAUGGAGCAGAGUUGGAAAAAGCUGAGAGGCUACAGUAGUUGGAGAGAUGGUGGCACAGAUGGCAGACUGGGCAAGGAGAAACACAGUCACAACUCCCACCACUCAGGACACUGCACCAGGAGGACUUGGAGUUCCCGGUCAGCCUGACAGAAACAGCAAACGGGAGAGAGUGACCAGCGAUCCAGUCAUGGCAGUGGACUUCAGCUGAGACUGCAGCUGUGCCUCUCCAGAACCUUCCCAGUUCAUCUGUCUGCAGCCUAUCACACGGCGAGUAAACCUAACUCUCGACAGCACCCUGCAGUAGAGUGGAGGAGAACACAGCCAAGACGAUUACUCCUGGACCAUACACACUUACAUUACAGUAAGACAAAACUACAUCAAAGAGAACAGAUUUCCAAGGAAGUAAUACGAUUCAGACCUAACUUCCAAUUUGGAAUAAAGGCUAAAAAUUUAAA